rnacentral:rRNA from 1 species
GACGAACGCUGGCGGCGUGCUUAACACAUGCAAGUCGAACGGAAAGGCCCUGCUUUUGUGGGGUGCUCGAGUGGCGAACGGGUGAGUAACACGUGAGUAACCUGCCCUUGACUUUGGGAUAACUUCAGGAAACUGGGGCUAAUACCGGAUAGGAGCUCCUGCUGCAUGGUGGGGGUUGGAAAGUUUCGGCGGUUGGGGAUGGACUCGCGGCUUAUCAGCUUGUUGGUGGGGUAGUGGCUUACCAAGGCUUUGACGGGUAGCCGGCCUGAGAGGGUGACCGGCCACAAUGGGACUGAGAUACGGGCCAGACUCCUACGGGAGGCAACAGUGGGGAAUAUUGCACAAUGGGCGGAAGCCUGAUGCAGCAACGCCGCGUGCGGGAUGACGGCCUUCGGGUUGUAAACCGCUUUCGCCUGUGACGAAGCGUGAGUGACGGUAAUGGGUAAAGAAGCACCGGCUAACUACGUG